rnacentral:tRNA from 1 species
UGCCUUGUAGCUUAAUGGAUAAGCGCCCGGCUGUUACCCGGAGGAUUGCUGGUUCGAAUCCAGCCAAGGCAG